UACGUAGGGUGCGAGCGUUGUCCGGAAUUAUUGGGCGUAAAGGGCGCGUAGGCGGUGCGGUAAGUCACCUGUGAAAUCUCCUGGCUCAACUGGGAGCUUGCAGGCGAAACUGCCGUGCUGGAGUGUGGGAGAGGUGCGUGGAAUUCCUGGUGUAGCGGUGAAAUGCGUAGAUAUCAGGAGGAACACCUGUGGCGAAAGCGGCGCACUGGACCACAACUGACGUUGGAGGCGCGAAAGCUAGGGGAGCAAACAGG
rnacentral:rRNA from 1 species